ensembl:lncRNA
AGCUCUGGACAGAGGGGCAGAAGCUCUGGACAGAGGGGCAGAAGCUCUGGACAGAGGGGCAGAAGCUCUGGACAGAGGGGCAGAAGCUCUGGACAGAGGGGCUCUGGCGCCUCUGGGCUGACGGGCUCUGGCGCCUCAGACUCCGGCAGCGGCGCCGGACAGGCGGGAGGCUCCGGACAGGCGGGAGGCUCCGGACAGGCGGGAGGCUCCGGACAGGCGGGAGGCUCCGGACAGGCGGGAGGCUCCGGCAGCGGCGCCGGACAGGCGGGAGGCUCCGGCAGCGGCGCCGGACAGGCGGGAGGCUCCGGCAGCGGCGCCGGACAGGCGGGAGGCUCCGGCAGCGGCGCCGGACAGGCGGGACCACCUGCAGGGAGGAGACAGAGAGACAGCCUGGUGCGUGGGGCUGCCACAGGAACCACCAGGCUGGGGAGACCUUCAGGAGGCUUGGUGUUAAGAGGAGGCACCUGAAGGACCGGGCUGUGGGGAGCACUGG